rnacentral:lncRNA from 1 species
AGACUACAGACGGGGGAGCCUCUGGGGCUGCAGACACUGCAGACGGACGGACAGACAGAUGGACAACAGCUGGAGGCUUGGCCCCAGCCAUAGGGCUCUCUGCGGGACAGUCCCAGCUGCUAGUGUUGCUGUUGCUGCUACUGACCCGUGUCCAGCCUGGGACAGACGUGGCUGCCCCAGAGCACAUCAGCUAUGUGCCCCAGCUCUCAAACGACACCCUGGCGGGGAGGCUCACCCUGUCCACCUUCACGCUGGAGCAGCCUCUAGGCCAGUUCAGCAGCCACAACAUCUCUGACUUGGAUACCAUCUGGCUGGUGGUGGCCCUCAGCAACGCCACCCAGAGCUUCACGGCCCCACGGACAAACCAGGACAUCCCUGCUCCUGCCAACUUCUCCCAGAGGGGCUACUAUCUCACACUGAGGGCCAACCGGGUGCUGUACCAGGCCAGAGGCCAGCUCCAUGUCCUCCGUGUUGGCAAUGAUACCCACUGCCAACCAACAAAAAUUGGCUGCAACCAUCCCCUACCAGGACCGAGCCCCUACAGGGUGAAGUUCCUGGUGAUGAAUGACAAAGGACCCGUGGCUGAAACAAAGUGGUCCAGCAACACUCGCCUGCAGCAAGGACAGCCACAGUGUGGAAGACCCUGUGCCCCUUCUGGGGUGAGGAGUACCAAGUGCACCUGCCGCCCACCUUCCACGCUGUGGCUUUCUACGUCAUGGAUGAGGAUGCCCUCAGCCGGGACGACGUUAUCGGAAAGGUCUGCCUUACAAGGGACACCAUAGCUUCUCACCCUAAGGAUCAUGAAGAAGUCAUGCUACCCACGCUGGAAUGAGACGUUUGAAUUUGAGCUGCAGGAGGGGGCCGUGGAGGCGCUGUGCGUGGAGGCCUGGGACUGGGACCUUGUCAGCCGAAACGACUUCCUGGGCAAAGUGGUGAUCGAUGUCCAGAGACUGCGGGUGGCGCAGCAGGAGGAGGGCUGGUUCCGGCUGCAGCCCGACCAGUCCAAGAGCCGGCAGCAUGACGAGGGCAACCUGGGCUCCUUGCAGCUGGAGGUGCGGCUGCGGGACGAGACGGUGCUGCCCUCCAGCUACUACCAGCCACUGGUGCACCUGCUGUGCCACGAGGUCAAGCUGGGCAUGCAGGGCCCAGGGCAGCUGAUCCCACUCAUCGAGGAGACAACCAGCACCGAGUGUCGCCAGGACGUGGCCACGAACCUGCUCAAGCUCUUCCUGGGGCAGGGGCUGGCCAAGGACUUCCUGGACCUGCUCUUCCAGCUGGAGCUGAGUCGCACCAGUGAGGCCUGGGAAGGAGCUGGGCCCAGAACGCUGGGAGGUGUUUGGGGGUGGGUGGGCUCCUCCUGUAGGAGGCAGAUGGGGUCAGACAGGAGGGAGGCAAGGAACAGAGCCAAGGGCAGAGGUGGGACAGUGGGCUGGGAGGUGGCGAGGAGGCCCUUUAUUGAG